rnacentral:tRNA from 1 species
GGUGGGCUGGCUGAGUGGUCGAAAGCGGCGGUCUUGAAAACCGUUGAACCGUAAGGUUCCCGGGGUUCGAAUCCCUGGCCCACCGCCA